AACGUUAUUCGCAAUAACUGGGUGUACAGCAUAAAAAAAUAUAAAUACAAAAAAUUAUAUAGUUGUAGAUUGUAAAAAAGUAUUAAAUAUUUUUAAUUUUUAUAAGGUAAUGAUAAAAUAUUUUAACAUUAUAAUAAUUUCUUAAAAAAAAAUAUUUACUACUUUUUGUUUAAUUAUGAAGGUAUAAAUAUCGAAUAGGAUUCGGGACCCUAGUAGUUUAUACAGUAAAAAAUGGUUAUAAAUUAAUAUAAGUAACCCACUUAGGUAGUACGAUCGCAAGAUUGAAAUUUAACAGAAUUGGCGGGAAUUUAAUUUAACGGUGGAGCAUGUGGUUUAAUACGAUAAUCCACGUAAAAUCUUACCAGUGUGUUGUAGUUAUUUAAAGUUGAUUUAUUUUUUGCUUUAUUAUAACUGUGUAGUAUUGCAUGGCUGUCGUCAGCUCGUGUUGUGAGAUGUAAAAUUAAGUUUUUUAACGAGUGGAAUCCCUGGUGUUUUUGUAAUAAGGAAUGUUAUUUUUUAUUAAGAAUAUCUUUAUGUUUAGGGUUGAAGUCAAGUCGAUAUGAUCUUUGAAUGCUGGGCUAUACACGUGUUACAUUGGUAAUUACAAAAAAUGGUUUUUUUGUAAAAAUUUACUAUAUUUAAAAAAUUAUCAAGGUUCGGAUUAUUUUUUGUAAUUUAAAAGUAUGAAGAUGAAAUCGUUAGUAAUUGCAAAUAAGUAUGUUGUAGUGAAUAAUAAAAUUAAAUUCUGUACACACUGCCCAUCACGCUCGGAAAAUUAAAUUAUUUUUUUUUAUGAAAAAACCAUUAUAUUUUUAUAUUUGAAUAAUUUUGUUCUUUGGCUUUUUCGUUAAAAAAAUAUAUUUUAUGAUUUGAGUG
rnacentral:rRNA from 1 species